rnacentral:snRNA from 1 species
GUACUCACUUUGGCAGCACAUAUACUACAAUUGGACUAAAACAAAGAAGACUAGCAUGGCCCCUGCAUAAGGAUGACACGCAAAUUCGUGAAACCAGAUGAGCUUUA